CGCGACCUCAGGUCAGGCGGGG
rnacentral:rRNA from 16 species